UCUGACAAAGAGUGGCGAACGGGUGAGUAACACGUGGGUUAACCUACCUCUUAGCAGGGGAUAACAUUUGGAAACAAGUGCUAAUACCGUAUAAUACCAACAACCGCAUGGUUGUUGGUUGAAAGAUGGUUCUGCUAUCACUAAGAGAUGGACCCGCGGUGCAUUAGCUAGUUGGUAAGGUAACGGCUUACCAAGGCAAUGAUGCAUAGCCGAGUUGAGAGACUGAUCGGCCACAAUGGGACUGAGACACGGCCCAUACUCCUACGGGAGGCAGCAGUAGGGAAUCUUCCACAAUGGGCGCAAGCCUGAUGGAGCAACGCCGCGUGUGUGAUGAAGGGUUUCGGCUCGUAAAACACUGUUAUAAGAGAAGAACGGCACUGAGGGUAACUGUUCAGUGUGUGACGGUAUCUUACCAGAAAGGAACGGCUAAAUACGUGCCAGCAGCCGCGGUAAUACGUAUGUUCCAAGCGUUAUCCGGAUUUAUUGGGCGUAAAGCGGGCGCAGACGGUUAUUUAAGUCUGAAGUGAAAGCCCUCAGCUCAACUGAGGAAUGGCUUUGGAAACUGGAUGACUUGAGUGCAGUAGAGGAAAGUGGAACUCCAUGUGUAGCGGUGAAAUGCGUAGAUAUAUGGAAGAACACCAGUGGCGAAGGCGGCUUUCUGGACUGUAACUGACGUUGAGGCUCGAAAGUGUGGGUAGCAAACAGGAUUAGAUACCCUGGUAGUCCACACCGUAAACGAUGAGUGCUAGAUGUUCGAGGGUUUCCGCCCUUGAGUGUCGCAGCU
rnacentral:rRNA from 1 species